CAACCUGACCUGGUGGGGCUACCCACUGAGUUUAGGCAUAUAAAUAAGCGGAGGAAAAGAAACUUACAAGGAUUCUCCUAGUAACAAGCGCCCUUGGUGUUGGAAUAUUAGUUUGAGGGAGCAUCCUCAGCAGUGGACUAGGCUCAAGUCCCCUAGGAGGAGGCACGGGAGAGGGUGAGAGCCCCAUUGUGCCCAGACCUUGUUGGACCACAAGGCGCUGUCGGCGAGUUGGGUUGUUUGGGAAUCCAGCCCAAAUCGGGUGGUAAAUUCCAUCCAAGGCAAAAUAUGGGUGAGAGACUGAUAGCAAACAAGUACUACGAGGGAAAGAUGAAAAGGACUUUGAAAAGAAAGUCAAAAAGUGCGCCUCGGUCGGAUGCAGAACGGUGAGAGCCGAUCUGCUGAUCGACUCGAGGCAUAGACUGAUGCGGAUUGCAAUGGCUGCCUAAGCUCGAGCUGUAGAUAUGUUGAUGGACAUGUCAUCGCCGUGAUCAUGGUUGGCAGUGUGCGUCGUCACAGCGUGCUUCAGUACCUGCAUGCUCCUGGUGUCGACCUGUGGGCUCCCCAUUGGGCCCGUCUUGAAACACGAACAAGGAGUCUAACAUGUGUGCGAGUCAAAAGGGCCAGUAAACCUGUAAGGUGCAAGGAAGUUGAAUAGUAGGAUCCCCAUGCGGGUUGCACCGUUGGCCGACCUUGAUCUUCUAGGAAGGGUUCGAGUGAGAGCAUGCUUGUUGGGACCAAAAAGAUGGUGAACUAUGCCUGAGCAGGGCGAAGCCAAAGGAAACUCUGGUGGAGGCCCGCACCGAUAUUGACGUGCAAAUCGUUCAUCUAACUUAGGUAUAGGGGUGAAAGACUAAUCGAACCGUCUAGUAGCUGGUUCCCUCUGAAGUUUCCCUUAAGAUAGCCGGAGCCCGCAAACAAGUUCUAUGGGGUAAAGCCAAUGAUUAGAGGCAUUGGGGGCGCAACGCCCUCGACCUAUUCUCAAACUUUAAAUAGGUAGGAUGGUGUGGUUGCUCCAUUGAGCCGCACUAUGGAAUCAAGAGCUCCAAGUGAGCCAUUUUUGGUAAGCAGAACUGGCGAUGCUGGAUGAACUAGAAGCUGGAUUACGGUGCCCAACUGUGCACUAACCUAGAACCCACAAAGGGUGUUGGUCGAUUAAGACAGUAGGAUGGUGGUCAUGGAAGUCGAAAUCUGUUCAGGAGUGUGUAACAACUCACAUGCCGAAUCAACUAGCCCUAAAAAUGGAUGGCGCUAAAGCGCACGACCCAUACCAGGCCGUUGGUUAAGAGCUCGGCCCCGAUAAGUAGGAGGGCAUGACGGUCACUGCAAAACUUGGGCUGCUAGUGGUAGUCGAUCCUAAGAAACGGGGGAAGCCUAAGAAACUUGGGCUGACGGUCACUGCAGAUCUUGGUGGUAGUAGCAAAUAUUCAAGGCGGAAGAGGGGAAAGGUUUCAUGUGAAUGGCACUUGCACAUGGGUUAGUCGAUCCUAAGAAACGGGGGAAGCCCGUCUGACAGCGCGACCAACGCAAAAUUUGAAAGUGAAUCGGGUUAAAAUUCCUGAACCGGGAUGUGGCGGCUGACGGCAACAUUAGGGAGUCCAGAGACGUCGGCGGUGGCCUCAAGAAGAGUUAUCUUUACUGUUUAAAAGCCUGUCCACCCUGGAAAUGGCUCAGCCAUAUGUAGGGUCCAACUGCUAGAAGAGCAUCGUACAUCACGUGGUGUCCGGUGUGCCCCCGACGGCCCUUGAAAAUGCAAAGGACCGAGUGCCUCCCACGCCGGGUCAUACUCAUAACCACAUCAGGUCUCCAAGGUGAACAGCCUCUAGCCAAUGGAACAGUGUAGGCAAUGGAAGUUGGCAAAAUGGAUCUGUAAAAGGAUUAGCUCUGACGGCUGGGCAUGGGGGUCCUAGUCCGGAACCCAUUGGCUGUCAGUGAACUGCUUGAGCUGCUCCUGUGGCGAGAGUGGUUUGCCGCAUGUCAACUGGGGGAUGGAUUGGGAAAAGUUCCCUUUGGGGGCCCUUCCCCAGGCGUCGAACAUUCAACUCAUAACUUGUAUGAACAAAGGGAAUCCAACUAUUUAAUUAAAACAAAGCAUUGCGAUGGUGCCUGCGGAUGCUCAUGCAAUGUGAUUUCUGCCCAAUGCUUUGAAUUUCAAAGUGAAGAAAUUCAACCAAGUGCGGGUAAAUGGUGGGUGUAACUAUGACUCUCUUAAGGUAGCCAAAUGCCUUAUCAUCUAAUUAGUGACGCGCAUUAAUGGAUUAUUGAGACUCCCACUGUCCCUAUCUACUAUCCAGCAAAACCAGAGCCAAGGGAAUGGGCUUGGCAGAAUCAGCAGGGAAAGAAAACUCCGUGGAGCUUGACUUUCCAACUUUGUGAAAUGACUGGAGAGGUGUAGUAUAAGUGGGAGUCGGAAACGGUGAAAGUGAAAUACCACUACUUUUAAUGUUAUUUUACUUAUUCCAUGAAUCGGAAGUGGGGCACUGCCCUUGUUUUUGGACCCAAGGCCUACCUCAGCUGGUUGAUCAAGGUGGAAGACAUUGUUAGGUGGGGAGUUUAACUGGGGCGACACAUCUGUUAAAGGAUAAAGUAGGUGUCCUAAGAUGAGCUCAACGAGAAAAGCUCAUUUGAUUCUAAUUUCUAGUAUGAAUAUGAACCGUGAAAGCAUGGCCUAUUGAUCCUUUAGACCUUUCGAAUUUGAAGCUAGGGGUGUUAAAAAAUUUACCAUAAGGAUAACUGGCUUGUGGCAGCCAAGCGUUCAUAGCGAUGUUGCUUUUUUAUCCUUCAAUGUUGGCUCUUCCUAUCAUUGUGAAGCAGAAUUCACAAAGUGUUGGAUUGUUCACCCACCAAUAGGGAACAUGAGCUGGGUUUAGAGCGUCAUGAGACAGGUUAGUUUUACCCUACUGAUGAUAGUGUCACAAUAGUAAUUCAACCUAGUACAAGAGGAACCAUUGAUUUGCAUAAUUAGCCAUCGCGCUUGGUUGAACAGCCAGUGGCACAAAACCACUAUGUGGUGGAUUAUGACUGAACGCUCUAAGUCAGAAUUUGGGCUAGAAGCGAUGCAUGCACUCAUCGCCCGUUUGUCGACUCGUAGUAGCGGCCUCGGCCUCGAAAGGCACGUGUCGUUGGAAAAGUCCGUGCACUGGACGUACCAUGUGGGCUGCCUUGAAGUUCAAUUCCUACUGAGCAGCGGGUAGAAUCCUUUGCAGACGACCUAAAUACGUGAUGGGGUAUUGUAAGUGGAAAAGUCCUGUGUCGCUUUGAUUCGUCCCUCCCUCCCCCCCUAUCCCC